AGCAGCCGCGGUAAUUCCAGCUCCAAUAGCGUAUAUUAAAGUUGUUGCAGUUAAAAAGCUCGUAGUUGAAUUUCGGGAUCAAUUUGCUGGUCGUGCCUUCGGUACGCACUGGUAUUAUUGGUUUCUCCUUUCUGAUGAAUCGCGAUGUCAUUAAUUUGGUGUCGUGGGGAAUCAGGACCGUUACUUUGAAAAAAUUAGAGUGUUUAAAGCAGGCUCACGCUUGAAUACAUUAGCAUGGAAUAAUGAAAUAGGACGUUUGAUUCUAUUUUGUUGGUUUCUAGGAUCGACGUAAUGAUUAAUAGGGAUAGUUGGGGGCAUUAGUAUUCAAUUGUCAGAGGUGAAAUUCUUGGAUUUAUUGAAGACUAACUACUGCGAAAGCAUUUGCCAAGGAUGUUUUCAUUAAUCAAGAACGAAAGUUAGGGGAUCGAAGACGAUCAGAUACCGUCGUAGUCUUAACCAUAAACUAUGCCGACUAGGGAUCGGAUGAUGUUAAUUUUUAAUGA
rnacentral:rRNA from 1 species